UACGGGGGGGGCAAGCGUUGCUCGGAAUCACUGGGCGUAAAGCGCACGUAGGCGGCUUUCUAAGUCAGGGGUGAAAUCCUGGAGCUCAACUCCAGAACUGCCUUUGAUACUGGAGAGCUUGAGUCCGGAAGAGGUGAGUGGAACUCCGAGUGUAGAGGUGAAAUUCGUAGAUAUUCGGAAGAACACCAGUGGCGAAGGCGGCUCACUGGUCCGGUACUGACGCUGAGGUGCGAAAGCGUGGGGAGCAAACAGG
rnacentral:rRNA from 1 species